CGGUGGAUGAUGUGGAUUAAUUCGAUGCAACGCGAAAAACCUUACCUACCCUUGACAUGUCUGGAAUGCCGAAGAGAUUUGGCAGUGCUCGCAAGAGAACCGGAACACAGGUGCUGCAUGGCUGUCGUCAGCUCGUGUCGUGAGAUGUUGGGUUAAGUCCCGCAACGAGCGCAACCCUUGUCAUUAGUUGCUACGAAAGGGCACUCUAAUGAGACUGCCGGUGACAAACCGGAGGAAGGUGGGGAUGACGUCAAGUCCUCAUGGCCCUUAUGGGUAGGGCUUCACACGUCAUACAAUGGUCGGGACAGAGGGUCGCCAACCCGCGAGGGGGAGCCAAUCCCAGAAACCCGAUCGUAGUCCGGAUCGCAGUCUGCAACUCGACUGCGUGAAGUCGGAAUCGCUAGUAAUCGCGGAUCAGCAUGUCGCGGUGAAUACGUUCCCGGGUCUU
rnacentral:rRNA from 1 species